UACGUAGGAUGCAAGCGUUGUUCGGAAUUACUGGGCGUAAAGAGUACGUAGGCGGUAUGGUAAGUCUGAUAUUAAAGACUGGGGCUUAACUCCAGGAAUGUAUCGGAAACUGCCAAACUAGAGGACAAUAGAGGAAGUCGGAAUUCCUGGUGUAGCGGUGAAAUGCGUAGAGAUCAGGAGGAACACCUGUGGUGUAGACAGCUUACUGGACGAUAACUGACGCUGAGGCACGAAAGCGUGGGUAGCAAACAGG
rnacentral:rRNA from 1 species